UUAAGCGACUAAGCGUACACGGUGGAUGCCCUGGCAGUCAGAGGCGAUGAAGGACGUGCUAAUCUGCGAUAAGCGUCGGUAAGGUGAUAUGAACCGUUAUAACCGGCGAUUUCCGAAUGGGGAAACCCAGUGUGUUUCGACACACUAUCAUUAACUGAAUCCAUAGGUUAAUGAGGCGAACCGGGGGAACUGAAACAUCUAAGUACCCCGAGGAAAAGAAAUCAACCGAGAUUCCCCCAGUAGCGGCGAGCGAACGGGGAGCAGCCCAGAGCCUGAAUCAGUGUGUGUGUUAGUGGAAGCGUCUGGAAAGGCGCGCGAUACAGGGUGACAGCCCCGUACACAAAAAUGCACAUGCUGUGAGCUCGAUGAGUAGGGCGGGACACGUGGUAUCCUGUCUGAAUAUGGGGGGACCAUCCUCCAAGGCUAAAUACUCCUGACUGACCGAUAGUGAACCAGUACCGUGAGGGAAAGGCGAAAAGAACCCCGGCGAGGGGAGUGAAAAAGAACCUGAAACCGUGUACGUACAAGCAGUGGGAGCACGCUUAGGCGUGUGACUGCGUACCUUUUGUAUAAUGGGUCAGCGACUUAUAUUCUGUAGCAAGGUUAACCGAAUAGGGGAGCCGAAGGGAAACCGAGUCUUAACUGGGCGUUAAGUUGCAGGGUAUAGACCCGAAACCCGGUGAUCUAGCCAUGGGCAGGUUGAAGGUUGGGUAACACUAACUGGAGGACCGAACCGACUAAUGUUGAAAAAUUAGCGGAUGACUUGUGGCUGGGGGUGAAAGGCCAAUCAAACCGGGAGAUAGCUGGUUCUCCCCGAAAGCUAUUUAGGUAGCGCCUCGUGAAUUCAUCUCCGGGGGUAGAGCACUGUUUCGGCAAGGGGGUCAUCCCGACUUACCAACCCGAUGCAAACUGCGAAUACCGGAGAAUGUUAUCACGGGAGACACACGGCGGGUGCUAACGUCCGUCGUGAAGAGGGAAACAACCCAGACCGCCAGCUAAGGUCCCAAAGUCAUGGUUAAGUGGGAAACGAUGUGGGAAGGCCCAGACAGCCAGGAUGUUGGCUUAGAAGCAGCCAUCAUUUAAAGAAAGCGUAAUAGCUCACUGGUCGAGUCGGCCUGCGCGGAAGAUGUAACGGGGCUAAACCAUGCACCGAAGCUGCGGCAGCGACGCUGAUGCGUUGUUGGGUAGGGGAGCGUUCUGUAAGCCUGUGAAGGUGUGCUGUGAGGCAUGCUGGAGGUAUCAGAAGUGCGAAUGCUGACAUAAGUAACGAUAAAGCGGGUGAAAAGCCCGCUCGCCGGAAGACCAAGGGUUCCUGUCCAACGUUAAUCGGGGCAGGGUGAGUCGACCCCUAAGGCGAGGCCGAAAGGCGUAGUCGAUGGGAAACAGGUUAAUAUUCCUGUACUUGGUGUUACUGCGAAGGGGGGACGGAGAAGGCUAUGUUGGCCGGGCGACGGUUGUCCCGGUUUAAGCGUGUAGGCUGGUUUUCCAGGCAAAUCCGGAAAAUCAAGGCUGAGGCGUGAUGACGAGGCACUACGGUGCUGAAGCAACAAAUGCCCUGCUUCCAGGAAAAGCCUCUAAGCAUCAGGUAACAUCAAAUCGUACCCCAAACCGACACAGGUGGUCAGGUAGAGAAUACCAAGGCGCUUGAGAGAACUCGGGUGAAGGAACUAGGCAAAAUGGUGCCGUAACUUCGGGAGAAGGCACGCUGAUAUGUAGGUGAAGUCCCUCGCGGAUGGAGCUGAAAUCAGUCGAAGAUACCAGCUGGCUGCAACUGUUUAUUAAAAACACAGCACUGUGCAAACACGAAAGUGGACGUAUACGGUGUGACGCCUGCCCGGUGCCGGAAGGUUAAUUGAUGGGGUCAGCGCAAGCGAAGCUCUUGAUCGAAGCCCCGGUAAACGGCGGCCGUAACUAUAACGGUCCUAAGGUAGCGAAAUUCCUUGUCGGGUAAGUUCCGACCUGCACGAAUGGCGUAAUGAUGGCCAGGCUGUCUCCACCCGAGACUCAGUGAAAUUGAACUCGCUGUGAAGAUGCAGUGUACCCGCGGCAAGACGGAAAGACCCCGUGAACCUUUACUAUAGCUUGACACUGAACAUUGAGCCUUGAUGUGUAGGAUAGGUGGGAGGCUUAGAAGUGUGGACGCCAGUCUGCAUGGAGCCGACCUUGAAAUACCACCCUUUAAUGUUUGAUGUUCUAACGUUGACCCGUAAUCCGGGUUGCGGACAGUGUCUGGUGGGUAGUUUGACUGGGGCGGUCUCCUCCUAAAGAGUAACGGAGGAGCACGAAGGUUGGCUAAUCCUGGUCGGACAUCAGGAGGUUAGUGCAAUGGCAUAAGCCAGCUUGACUGCGAGCGUGACGGCGCGAGCAGGUGCGAAAGCAGGUCAUAGUGAUCCGGUGGUUCUGAAUGGAAGGGCCAUCGCUCAACGGAUAAAAGGUACUCCGGGGAUAACAGGCUGAUACCGCCCAAGAGUUCAUAUCGACGGCGGUGUUUGGCACCUCGAUGUCGGCUCAUCACAUCCUGGGGCUGAAGUAGGUCCCAAGGGUAUGGCUGUUCGCCAUUUAAAGUGGUACGCGAGCUGGGUUUAGAACGUCGUGAGACAGUUCGGUCCCUAUCUGCCGUGGGCGCUGGAGAACUGAGGGGGGCUGCUCCUAGUACGAGAGGACCGGAGUGGACGCAUCACUGGUGUUCGGGUUGUCAUGCCAAUGGCACUGCCCGGUAGCUAAAUGCGGAAGAGAUAAGUGCUGAAAGCAUCUAAGCACGAAACUUGCCCCGAGAUGAGUUCUCCCUGACCCUUUAAGGGUCCUGAAGGAACGUUGAAGACGACGACGUUGAUAGGCCGGGUGUGUAAGCGCAGCGAUGCGUUGAGCUAACCGGUACUAAUGAACCGUGAGGCUUAACCU
rnacentral:rRNA from 1 species